GACGAACGCUGGCGGUGUGCUUAACACAUGCAAGUGGUGCGACGAACCAGAGCUUGCUCUGGGGCAAAGCCGCGAACGGGUGAGUAACACGUGGGUAAUCUACCCCGAUGACCGGGACAACCCGAGGAAACUCGGGCUAAUACCGGAUGUGGUGCGGAGACAUAAGUCUCUUCACUAAAGGUAGCUUCGGCUUCCGUAUUGGGAGGGGCCCGCGGCCCAUUAGCUUGUUGGUGGGGUCAAGGCCUACCAAGGCAACGAUGGGUAGCUGGUCUGAGAGGACGAUCAGCCACACUGGGACUGAGACACGGCCCAGACUCCUACGGGAGGCAGCAGUGGGGAAUCUUGCGCAAUGCGCGAAAGCGUGACGCAGCAACACCGCGUGAGGGAAGAAGGCCUUAGGGUUGUAAAACUCUUUCAGAUGGGACGAAGGUUCUCCGGUGAAUAGCCGAGAGGAUUGACGGUACCGUCAGAAGAAGCUCCGGCUAACUACGUG
rnacentral:rRNA from 1 species